GGUUGUAUAUGUUUGGUAUGGUAUAACCAUACCAAAACAAAAUAAAAGAAACUAGUGUUGCCAGAGUGGUAGCGGCGCUGGUAUGCUCGCGUUCGCCGGGCUUGGAGCUCGCCGGAUGGGGGUGGUUCUUGCUACCACUCUAGACACCUACACACACACAUAAAAAUCAUACCAGCUAAAAGAAAUAAACGAAAUAAAUAUAAAUGGGCACCGAGUAGGUUUCUGUCUGUCUCCCUGCUGAAACGUACCUACGACCUAUAACGGCUGGCAGAUGUUGUGCCAGUAUAAACCCUCCCACUCGGGAGUGGAUAACCCCGCCAUGACAUCCUAAUAUUAGGGAUGUCCCAAAAUUUUAUCCUGCAAACAUUCACCUUCCCUACUUACCGCCGCUUAUGUUAUUUAACCGAUCAUUUUAAAUGAUAACUAAUUCGAAAUUUUCAGUCAAACAUUAUAAUAAGGUUUAGUUUUAUUGAAACAAAAUUACUCCAAACAAUAUUUAACAAUACUAGGUUUUGAUUUAAAAUUUAGUUUAGAUUUAGUUUUAAUAUUUUGAAUUUAGAUUUAGUUUUAGGUUAAGAUUUAGGUUUUAAAAUUUAGAAUUUAAAAUUUAAAUUUAGAUUUAGCUUUAGUUUAAGAUUUAAGUUUUAAAUUUAUGUUUUAGAAUUUAAAAUUUAGAUUUAGUUUUAGAUUUUGAUUUAGGUUUAAAUUUAUAUUUUCAAAUUUUACGUUUACGUUUUUUAAAAGUUCCUGAUUUCGCUUGGGGAUAAACGGGAUUUGGCAAUUAUUUCGCUGCGGCAACUGACUGGUUUACUGGAGGCAAUUACAGGUUGAGAAGAGUUCUUUUGGCGGAGAAGGCUUUCCUGUCCGUCCGUAUUAAGGUCCGUUCGGGUAAACCAGGGAAACUACCUUUAUUACCGGAAACCUAGGACUCAAACACCGAAAACUACUAUAAUUCUAGGCCAGAGCUCUACCCUAAUGUUCGCGCACGCGUGGUUGAAAUGAGGAUUUCACGCGGGAUGGCGGCGGUCAAGCAAUACGAGAAAAGGAAUAUUGUACGUCCGUCUUGUCGUCCAGGUAAAAACUAUCACUUAGUCGGAAAACCAAAAACUGAUACCAGAGCACCCCAGGCGUGGUGGUGCUGAAAAGCAGCUUCUCCCUCGUUGGAUGGAGUCGUGUUGCAGUGGCUUGCAGGUUUGUUUAUUUUUCUUUUAUUUUUAUAUUUUAAAAUUUAGUUUUAAGUUUAGCUUUAAGCUUAGCUUUAAGUUUAGCGUUAAGUUUAAAUUCUUUAAUAAAAUUUAUUUAGUUUAAAAAAUCAAAAAUUUAGUUUUUUUUUUUAUGAUGGCCACAGACUCCACCUUCUUCUUCUCUCCGAGCAAAAAUCAAAAAGGACCGACAUUUUUUCCUUUUGGCAUCUAGAAACCUCGGUUACCAAUAUGGCUUCAACAAAUUUUCAGCAAUUUGUUUGCCUACAUAAAAUUUUUUCCUAAAGCUAUUUGUUUUUGUUUUUA